rnacentral:rRNA from 1 species
UGACGAGUUUGAUCCUGGCUCAGGAUGAACGCUAGCGGCAGGCUUAACACAUGCAAGUCGAGGGGUAUAGUUCUUCGGAGCUAGAGACCGGCGCACGGGUGCGUAACGCGUAUGCAAUCUACCUUUACAGAGGGAUAGCCCAGAGAAAUUUGGAUUAAUACCUCAUAGCAUGUGAGAAUCGCAUGGUUUUCACAUUAAAGUUCCAACGGUAAAAGAUGAGCAUGCGUCCCAUUAGCUAGAUGGUAAGGUAACGGCUUACCAUGGCGACGAUGGGUAGGGGUCCUGAGAGGGAGAUCCCCCGACACUGGUACUGAGACACGGACCAGACU